GGCACUGGUGUUUUGGUCAAAAAAAGUCUGCAAAACUUUUAUAAUAGGUUCGAAUCCUAUCAGUGCUU
rnacentral:tRNA from 1 species